UUCUUAUCAAGAGAAGCUGAGGGAUCUGGCCCUGUGAAGCUUCAGCAACCUCUGACAACUGUCAGAAAGGUGCUAAUUCCUUGGGAGAUAAGAG
rnacentral:ncRNA from 1 species